GCUUUACAGCGCAUAACACGCAUACCACGCAUGCGCAACUCCACUUCCGGUUCCUCCAGCUCUCCGCUCCUCUCGACACAGGCGCAGUACAGCCCACACCCUCCACAUCAUGGCGCAGAUGGCAUCUGUCUCCAUAAGAAGACCCUUGUGCUUACUGAGCU